GACACAGAGGGAGGCGACAGGGAGUUUAAAAGAAUCAGUCUGUGAGAUAGACACGCUUGUGGCAACUACAUUUGUCAGUGGAAGUUUUCAGUAACUUCGAUUCUGGAUCCACAGCACCACCGAUAAUAAUGAUGUUCUGCAGAGCGACUUGGCAAAGGCUUGCGCCUCUGGCACGCAAAACACUAACUCCUUUCGGCAAUGCUGUAUUCCCUACGCGACAGAUGUCCUUUGGUCUACCGGCGUCCGGCACAAACAUAGCUUACGUGGUACUUGGUGGAAGCUCACUUACUGCUGCUCUUGUUUAUGCUUAUAAGACAAUACAUUCUGACAGUGCAAGAUAUAAUGAAAGAAUUGCUCAACUCGAGGCCAGACCUAAAAGAGCAGUGGCCGAGGUAGCCUCGGUAGCAGAAGCAGCUGCGGUUGUGGAAACCACAGCAGCUGAGGUGAUUAAUGCAGAGGCUGAACAGACCCCAGAACCUGUGGAGGCAGCAACUGCGAUUGUAGAAGCAGUAGCAGCUGAUGCACCUGUUGUUGAGGAUGUCACUGCUGAGGCUGCUGCUCCCAUUGCUGAAACAACCGUUAUCUCAAUGUCUGACCUACUGAGCACUGUGAAAGUCCUGGCUGGAUCUACGGCAGAGAUUGCAGCUGCUUCAGUCGGUGAUCAGCAUCUGGUGGCCGCAGUGAGAUUGGCUGAGGAAAACAAUUCUAUGGAGACCCUCAAUGGGCUGGAGGUUGCUGAUGUUAAAGCAGAGGUCCCAGUAGAAGUGCCUGUGGGAGCUGUGGUUGAGGAGGCCAUGAUAGGUAGACUGAAUCUGAAAACAGAAGGAAAAGAACUGGAGGAACUGCCAUCAUCACUUCAUGCAGUAGAAGAAACUAUUGUUGUGGCAGAUGACCAUGUCAAGUCUGAGGCAGACAGCCCUGCUGUGCCUGAAGUUAAUGUUGAAAGCCUUGCUUCAUCAGAGGAGGACCUUGUUACAGAGAUGGAGAACAUUUUGGAAUUGGAAGACUCAACAAGCCCUGUGGUGAUGCUCUCAGAAGAUGAUGCCGUCUCUGGAGCUGCAGAGUUGACAUCAGAAAGAGUCGAGGACGUAGGUCAGAAAAUGGAAGAAUGUAAAGCGUUGUGUCAUGAGCCAACUGCCACAGAAACAGAACAUGCAGAUCUCACAGCACCACCAGCAGAGCUGGAGGACUCAUUACAGGCUACAGGUGCAACAGAGGCUGCAGAAGAAGUUAUUGUCGUGGAAAUGAUGCAGGAUGCUGUGGAGAAAGCUAAACCUGUUGAGGCAUCAGAUGAAGCUGUUGAAAGUGGAAAUGUUGCAAUGACCAUGACACAAGCCUGAAGUGAAUGCACCUGAGACACUGAAAACGAGUGAAACUAAAUAAUCUGAUGUAAUACAUACUGAAGUUAACAUAUAAUGAUGCUGUUACAGCCAUAAAAAAGACCUCUAAAUGACUUUUUGUUUCCAACUGAAUCGCAAAUUUGGUGAAUGACUAUGGUCUCCUUAAUUUUGUUAUUUCAUCUGAAAAUGAGUCCGUUGAAACUGUUUUGAGUUUAAUUUAUCUAAUUUUGUGUCUCUGGAAAAUAGUGGUCUGUGACACUGUAUUAUGCUGAAUAUCAAAGGUUUUGUGGUCACAUUCAUGUUGUUAGAUUGCUUUUUAUUUUAAAGUGAAAAGAUAAAAUUAGAAUUAGGGCAGAAGGUCCCAACUGGCAUGUUGUUGAUAGUGCUUAUUGUAAUUCAUUAGGUUAUUAUUCAGUUAUUCCGUUAUACACAAAAUAUUGUAAACAUGCAUUGCAUUAAGUAAUUAAAAAAAAAAAUGUGUAAUCAAAAUGGAAGGAAAUUUUAUAUGAAAUUUAAAUUAAUCACAUCAAUCUUAAAUUUAUUUAUUUAUUUGUAUUUAUUUUUAAUGUAUAGGUGUACAUUUUAGACAUCUUCAAUAUAUAUAUAUAUAGGCUAAUUAAGUGAACUGAUCUGAAUUUAAUUUGGAUUAAAUUUAAAUUCAUAGUGUUGCUAUUAUGAUGUAUCUUAAAUUAAUACAUGGUCAAUUAGAUAUGUAAGUUGUAGCAUAAAUUUACCUUUCAUAACCUUUCAUAAUUAUCUGGGAUUCUACUUUAUCUGUAAUUGAUUAAUUAUUUAGCUAAACUGUCAAAGCACAAUUUUAAAUAGUAUUUUAAUGACACACACACACACACACACACAGAUUGUUAUGCUUGAGUUAAUGUAUUAUGUGAUUGUGUGUUCUGAAUUAGAUCAUGAUUAAACUAUUGAGUAUUGCAGAGAACAUGGAACAAAACUGAAAUAUGUGUGUAAAAAAAGUAAAUUAUUUUAAAUGCAUCUUUGUUUCAAGAAUUGCAUGAACUGUUUUGGAAAUUAGGCCAACUGAAUUAGUGUGUUAGUUUUUUAUAGUGUUAGCAGCACUUGACUGAAAUGAAUCUCUACUAUGUGCUCUCACCAGUUCUUGGCAAGGCGUAAUACAUGUGAAGUCAUUAUUAACAGAAAGAGUGUAUUUACAUUAAACUCAUUCAAUAUCUGAUUUUCAAAAUUGUCUCUGUUACUAAUUCACAAGCAGUCCGGACACAACAAAUAUACGAAAAUAACGGCAGAACAUUCAUUCUAGACAAAGAAUUUUAGUAUUACUUGCUGUGUGCUUCUCUGAUCUCCUAUGCAUGGUGUAUUACCUGAUUCGGUCAUCUUUUAUUUUUCUGUUAUUUUAUUAAAGAUGAGACUGGUAAAAUAGCUAAUAUGGAAAAUAACAGGCCACUUGCCUUGGCAAGUAUACUUUCAAUUGUAUUAAAACAAAUCCUUUUGGAUAGGCCCUGCCUCCCUGUGAAAAUCACUAUGAAACCAAUCAACACCAACAAUAUUUUUUGUUUUUUUGUUGUUUUGUUUUUGUUUGUUUGUUUUGGAUUAUUGAUGGUAUUAUUUGUUAUUUGUGCUUCCUUUUGUAAAUCACUCUGAAAAAUGUGAUGGCCCAGUUAGUAGUUCACAAAAAACUAGACCACCACCAACCCCUGUCCCAUCCUUUAUCCCCUGGGGCAGGCACACAGUUUUUUAUUUGAUCAGUGUGCCACACCUCCUCCCUGGUCUCCCAAACUCAAAGUUUUUAUUUAUCCAUCCACUCUUGAGUCCUGGUCAGCCAGAUCCAACACACCACAGCCAGGGAGGGGACUUGGCAUCCCUCUGUGAGCGACCCGAGAGAAGCUGACCUGAACCCCAUCCGACACCCAUAUAGCAAAGCCUUCACUGAUCUUCACUGUGAGCGAGAGACAUAAAGCAGCGUCUCGCUCUAGUAAAAUGUCUUCACUUUUUACUUUUCAAUUCAAGAGUAAAUAUCCAUAUAAUUUAGUUCUAUUAUUUUAACAUUAGUUAAUGCAUUAACAAAAUAAGCUUAAUGCAGCCUACAUUAUAGUUUAACUGACUAAAAUCCACUGUAAAAUAGUUUUCAGACCGCU
rnacentral:lncRNA from 1 species